GGCCCCUGGUUAGAAACUGCCAUUUGUGAAAGGAGUUGGGAAGAGAAGGAGCUGCAGGCCACAGCAACAGCAGCAAUCACAAAGAUUGCAACCUGUGGGAUUAAGAGGGAAAGGAGCCUCAGCAAUGGGAGGCCAAAACAGCAAUGGGAACAACAGAAGCUGCAGCUUGUGAGAGGAGAUGUGAAGGGGCUGCAAACAUCAUAGCUUCAGGAGGAACAGAGACUGCAGCCCAUGGAAGUGAUUUGGAGAGGAAGGAACUGCCCACCACAGCAUUAGCAGCAUGGAACACCAGAGACUACAACCUGUGAUAGGCUCAGAGAAGGAGCUGCAAGUCAGAGGAGCAGCAGGAACAGCAAGUAGUAACCAGGAUUCUGAGGAAAAAGAGCUUUAGGCCUCAGGAGUAGUAGUACUGAAAAAAGGAAUCUUAAAGAAGACCAAAGAAGCUGUGGAUAAGACAGGAAGGUGGAGUGUUUGUGCCUCUCACGCAGAAAAAGAACAUUAUCGAAGACUUUUGCAUAGAAACAUCUAAGUCAUCGGUUCUCAAACUUCAUUGCACUGUGACUCCCUUCUGACAACAAAAUUAACUACAUGACCCCAGGAGGGGGGACCGAAGACCGAGCCACCCGAGCCCCACCCGGAUGUGCCCCGACUUGUUUUGUGUGCCAUGUGUGGCUCAAAUGAAGACCAGUAUUUCAGGUUUAUUUCUACUUUUGCACGCUGUUACCCAUCCUAGAUAUUCCAGCUGUUCAGUGCAUCAGUCCCCUUUUAUAUUUUGCAUCAUCUGCUUCUGACCCAGGCAAAUAUGGUUAUCCGCUAGCCAAAAUAGCUAUUCAGGCUCAACUUUGUCAGGAUAAGGAUAUAUGAAGUGGACGUGAACUACAACAUUUAACCAGCACAAGAGCAUAAAUGUGUCAAGGAGGGGAGAAAGAAGAAUUGGGGGAAGCAUCGAGGCAGAAGGAAGCUGUGAGGAACCUGGGAGAAGGCACAUUCAGGAUUCCAGUUGUGAGGCAAUUGCCUGAUUGGGGGCAUGGGAGAAUAAUGCACAUUAAGUGGGACAUUUUAUACAUUUGAUAUGAAAAUAAAAAUAACUAGAUAAAUUCAGAUUUCCAGGUACUUAGCAAUUGUUGCAGGAAGGAAAUCAUAAAGGACUAAGUUAUGGCAUUAUAAAGCUAAUUAUUGUUCCUCUGGCCAGUGCAGGAGGAAUGGGUCCACAUCCUCCCCCUUCCUUGUCCAGUUUCUGUAUUGCCAAUCCCAUAUGUUCAAAAGUUAUGAGUCAGACCCAAAAUUCAGAAGACUGGAUUAUAAUCAAGAGUUUUUGAAAAACAAUAAAU